rnacentral:rRNA from 1 species
UACGUAGGGUGCGAGCGUUGCCCGGAUUUAUUGGGCGUAAAGGGCGCGCAGGCGGCUACGCACGUCCGUUGUGAAAUCGCUCGGCUCAACUGGGCGGGGUCAGCGGAUACGGCGUAGCUGGAGCAAGCUAGGGGGCAAUGGAAUUCCCGGUGUAGUGGUGGAAUGCGUAGAUAUCGGGGAGGAACACCAGUGGCGAAGGCGGUUGCCUGGAGCUUUGCUGACGCUGAUGCGCGAAAGCGUGGGGAGCGAUCCGG